AGCAGAAAGCAAAGGUGCUCCCUCUAAGGAAAGCAAAGCUGCUUUCUCCAAGGUGAACUUCAUCGAUGAUCACUGGAUAGAAUUGAUAGACCGAGUUAAUAAUGUGGACCCCGUCCUAGA